UCAGAAAAACGCCACACCCGCAGCGAUGCGGAGCCGGAAAGCCACGGGUCUCAGCGAGAUGGCCGGGUUGCCUGA
rnacentral:ncRNA from 1 species